GAAAGUUUAAAAAGAAUUUGUGCUGGCAUACCUUCUCCCAAGAUUUACAUGGAACAGGGAAGGGAAGAAAAGACUGCUACUUCUUUUGGGAUAUAACAGAGUACUUCACACAACAAAAUGUGAUUAGGAAAACGCAAACAGAUGUUUCACCAAACAUCCUUGAUCCAGCCAGUAAAAAUAUUUUUCUCCUGGCAUGCCCACAAGUACAGACUCAUGCGCACUAUAAACGACUUGGAAUUAUUCUACCGACCUAACUGGGUGCUUUUGUUGCUGGGAGAUGUAAUAAGUUUUGAUAUGAUGCCAUACACCCAGCAAUGCCAGUCACUAAACAUUCACAAAUGAUCAUCAUCACUAGCAGCAUUGGCCAUUCCAAAAGGCCUCUAUGAGCCUGUGUCACUGACAAGAAAAAUUGCACAUCUUCCCAAGGAUUAACUCGCCAAUGAGCUGCAAUACAUGGGUUCCCAAGAGACUCAACAGGUUUGAAUGGUGCGCAAGAAGUUGUGAACCAAAAGUGCUCCUGUAUAAUGGAUAACAAAUCCACUCAGAAACAGCAGGUUCAAAGAUUGUUUCAUGCAUUCUGAAAAGCAGAGCACAGUUUCAAAUGAACUUUUGACUAUACAUUUGAUCUUAAAGUUGUGGUUGUGGAAUGCCCAUCAAAGAUCCCUAUUAGCUGGUACAAUCUUCACUAACUUGGCAAGGUCAUAUGACUUGAAGUCUUUUCCAUAACAUAAGCAAAGAUCCAGGGGUGUCAUUCCAUCCUGAAUGUGUAAAGUCAACAGUAUCAGUUUCCCAACUAUAACUUCACGGUCCCUUGCACAGUUAUAUAUGUUUACCUUAUUUCGUCUGUUCUUAUCUGCACCAUUCACUAACAAAACUUUAACUAUAUCUCUGUUUCUACUUUGCACUGCAAUGUGCAACGGUGUCCAGCCUUCCUGUAAGAAAGUUCAAGGAAAUGUUCAAAACUAAGCAUAGCAGCAGAACAUAGAGAUUAAAACAGCUUUGGAACUAUACAUACAUUAUCUGCAACAUUUACAUCAACCUUGUAUUUGACCAAUAACUUCACAGUUUGCAUAGCAGCAACUUGAACUGCAUAAUGCAGAGGGCUAGCACCAUCCGGAUCUCUGACAUGAGGGCUUGCACCUUUUCUUAAAAGAUGACUAAUUACAGACUCCUUUUUACCGAUAAUUGCUUUAUGCAGGGCCGUAAGACCGUCCUUAUCAACACUGUCAAUACUGAGUCCAUCUUCUAGAAGCUUGUCCAUAGAGUGUAUCUGUCCAGAUAGAGCAAGGGUCUGGAGUGGCUUCCAUUUUUCUGUUGAUAUUUUGUCCAGGUUGUAAGUUGCAUUCUGCCACAAAAUUGCUCUUUCUUCUGGUCCUAAAAGCUGUUCAACCUCUGCAGGAAAAAAAACAUCAACUUUAUUGCUCUGGUGGUGAGCAAUUAUAUAAGUGAAAUUGCUAGCAGUAAAACUAGGUGCCAAUGUUAAUCCAUGUCAAUGUGAAAACUUAAUCCACACUAAGUUUAACAUAUUCCACUUUAGUGUGGAAAUCUAACCAACAAUUGAUCACUUGCGUUAGUUGGUACUCAUGUUUCUAAUGAACUUGAUCAAAUCCUGAAAUAGAACUCAGAAGAGCUCAAAAAAAGCCAAGUCUGAUUUAGCCCACAAGAAGAAAUUGUGAAUAAUACUUGUCCACGAGAAGGGCAACUAGACUCUAUGGACAUAAUCCUAUCCAGCUGACAAGCAAUUAUCAGGUCAGAUCAUCAAUCAUGUGAGCCAUCUUUAAGCAGCAUUGCACAGGCUGACUUAUCCAUAUUUUUCUUCCAUUUAUCUAAUUUUAACCUACCUGCUCAUGCAUUUUUUUUUCUUUGGGAACAAACGAGUACCUAAUGUUGUGACUCAUAGUUAGAGAUUCAAGUCAUUGAUUAUAAUGAUACUGAUAAAUUUGUAACUAAUGAUCAUGGACACUAUAGUAAAAGAAUUUAAACAUCAAAUAAGCCUGAGUCAACUAAAUGAAUGUGAAUGUAUAGACACUAGUAAGAGAAUUUAGUAUCAUAAGAUCAUCUUAAAUUCAUGUUCCUUUUUCUUCUCUCCAUUUUUUGAUGAUUGAUUAAAGGAAUAAAUUUAGAAAACGGGAAAAGAAGAUAAUGAAAAGGAACAAAGGAUAAAAGGGGCACCCUUCACAAGAUCCUCCUCAUAACUGUUUUCUGUGGAAUUAUCGACUGAGCUAGUAGUAGAUGUGGCGGCUGUUUCUUUCUCCCAAUCACUCUCAUAAUCCAAGUCAUUUUCUUCCUCUUCUUCAUCUUCUUCAUCAUAAUCACUGUCACUGCCAUCAUCAGGAUCUUCCCAAACUCCCUGUAAUUUUUCUGAGGCUGAGGCCCAAUUUGACUCAAUCACACAGGUACAACGUUUUGAGCGUUUCUUAGCAAGAGAGAAAGCAAAUCUUCCUGUUCUAAGGGUAUUUGAUGCUUUGAAGAGAUUUGAGCGAAAAAUUAAACUUGGGGCAGCGGAAUUAGCUGCAGCUGAAAAUUGAGGAAGCAAAUAAUUGAAAGAAGUGGUAACACCUGUCACCAACAUCUGCU
rnacentral:misc_RNA from 1 species